rnacentral:lncRNA from 14 species
CAUACAGAAAAUAAGCAUCCUCUUACCAGCCUUUUCUUUCUCACACAGGUUUUUCACUAGCUUGCCCUCUAGUAAGCCCGUUUUUUUUUUACCCUCCUUAGAUCAGCUGUUGCUUUAGAUCCACCUCAGCAACCCUUAUCUCACUGUGCUUUGGAAGUGACUGACAGAGCUCUUUGCCUUCAUCAAGCCUUGUUACAACAUGCACCCUCCUUAUCCACACCUUUCUGCACCACGAAUGCCAAAAAGGUGACAUUAAAUUAUGCAAUACCUCCAUGUUAAAGUAUAAUGCAGUAAAAUGAAAAACCCAAACAAGUUACAGACUCGCAAUGAAUAUAUUUCGGCUUAAAAACCUCACCAAACCCAACACUUGCUCCAGUGUUUUAUCCUCUUCACGUGCAAUUCCAGAGGAAAAACAGCUCUUACAGAGAAAAGGCUCGGAGCAGCCGCACUGUUUAAUUACACAGAGCCGAGCCCGAAUUAGCAUGUGGGGAAUGUCAGCUCGGCACCGGCAGGGCCGCAGCGGAGCCGACGCUCCUCUGAAGCGGCCCCGCUGUCAGGGCACACCCCGCGCCCGCCCCGGGACAGAGACGCCGACAAUCACCGAGCCGGCCACCGCGGCCCAGCGGCCCAGCCCACCCGCGGGUGCCACAACAAAGGGACGGUGGCUGUCGGGCGUCGCCGGCAAGACGCGGCGAUGCUCCUCUCGGCCGCGGGCCCAUUAGCAUGGCCGUGCCCGUACGCAGAAGACGGGGCGCGGCCCGUCUUCGCAGCCCCGCAGUCUACUGGGCUCUGGGCAGCGCCCACCUUAGGGCGCUGAGGGCACAGACACGGACUCGCCGCCCAGCACGGUCACCCGGACCCGGCUCUUCGUCCUCCGUCCCGCCCCCGACCACCUCACCUCGAGGGACCCCAGGGGGCCGUUCGCGCAGCACCAACNNNNNNNNNNNNNNNNNNNNUCGCCACCCGCCCUCACCGCGGACUGCCGGCGGCGCGGCGCCGCAAGACCCUCCCCGCGCCGCACCGCACCCGGGCGGGGUGCCCGCGCCGCUGCCUGACUGGAAGGCGACUGGGGCGGGCGGGGCCGCGCCGGCUGGGCGUUGCCGCGCCCGAGGCGGGUGGGCGGGAGGGACAGAUGGUGGCAGAGGCCGCGCUGAGGCGGGUGGGGUUCGCUUUGUUAGCGGCGGUGCGAGCCCCGAGGCUGAGAGAUAUGUCCUGGCUGAAGGCGGUCCAGUGGGGAGUGUGGCCUGGCUGCACAGCAGUGACUCUGCCAGGGACAAGCAAGUAAUGGGGAACUUGAUGGUUCCUUCUGCAACACUCAAGUCACAGCAUCACAUCGCAGGAAGCAAGACUCACCAGUAA